UUUCCUGCAUUUCCCGUCGAAAAGUGUGACAGAACGAGAUAUCGAAAAAAAAAUUUUCUCAUUUUUUGUGAAUUUUGCAAUUUAUUGGAAAAUUUACCUGAAUUUCCGCCCAAAAUCAAAAUGGCUUUAGCAAUGAUGUUGCGUUCGACCUGCAGAAAUGCUGCUUUGCCGUCGUUGAUGUUGCGAAAUGCGGCAAAAGUCUCGACAUUUGCGGUUCGCCCGGCUUUGCAAAAAUCCUUGAUGGUCGCUCCCGUGCAAAUGUUGCGACAAACGAUGCCCGUCGCACGUUCCGCGGUGCAACAACAAGUCGUGCGUCAAUCGUCGGGCGCCGCUGCGGGUCACAGUCACGUGACUUUGUGGAAAGUUGAGAAAGUCGUGGCAAUCGGCAUUUUGUUGGGAUGCAUUCCAUUGAUGGCAGUGAUGCCGGGCAAGGCUACCGAAGCACUUUUCGCCACGAUGGCAGUGGCACACACACAUUGGGGCUGGGAAGCGAUCGUUUGCGAUUACGUUCGUGCCGUCGUUUUCGGGAGAUUUAUCGCAAAAGCUGCCAUUAUUGCGACUUACAUGUUCAGUGCGGGACUUUUGGCUGGCUUGUUGAAUUUCAUCUACAACGACAUCGGAAUUGUUGCUACCGUCAAGAAGGUUUGGGCCAUCGAGGGCAAGAAAUAGAUUAAAUCGCGACAUUUUUCUACGACACAAAAAUUGUAAUUUAUUCAAAAUUUCGAAAAAAAAUGAUCUGAUGAAGGUAAAAAGGUCAACUCGCGUCAUCUGCCCUUUGCCCGACUAUUAUUACUGUCUAAGUUGCUUUUUCCAACGUUAUCUGUGUGGAAGAUCCUCAGCGCUUCCCAUUGUUUGUUGUGAAGUAAAAUAUGGGGACGACAAUCCUUCAUAUGAGCUACUGCUUGUUCGGGGGUCCAUCCAUUUUUCUAAAAAAAAAAAAUGAAAAAAUUAAUUAAAAAUUUAAAUUAAAUUAUUUUUUAAAAAAUUAAUUUUUAUUAAAUU